rnacentral:rRNA from 1 species
CAAUAGCGUAUAUUAAAGUUGUUGCGGUUAAAAAGCUCGUAGUUGGAUUUCUGUUGAAGAAAACCGGUCCGUACCAUGUAUGUGUAUCUGGCUUUUUUUCGGCAUCCUCUCGAGGUACGUUACUGCGCUUGAUUGCGUGGGGCGGAAUUCGGGACUUUUACUUUGAGGAAAUUAGAGUGUUCACGGCAGGCAAUCGCCCUGAAUAUAUUAGCAUGGAAUAAUGAUAUAGGAUCUUGAUUCUAUUUUGUUGGUUUCAGGAAUUAAGGUAAUGAUUAAUAGGGACAAUUGGGGGCAUUCGUAUCAACACGUCAGAGGUGGAAUUCUUGGAUUGUGUUGCGACGAACUACUGCGAAAGCAUUUGCCAAGGAUGUUUUCAUUGAUCAAGAACGAAAGUAAGGGGAUCGAAGACGAUCAGAUACCAU